rnacentral:rRNA from 1 species
AAACUAACAAGGAUUCCCUGAGUAACGGCGAGCGAAAAGGGAAUAGCCCAGCGCCGAAUCUCUUGUCCUCCGGGCAAGAAGACAUGUGGCGUUUGGGACGAGGCUUUGCCUGUGCAGAAUGGUCAUCCAAGUCCCUCUUGAACGGGGCCAUAGCCCAUGGAGGGUGCUAGGCCCGUAUGAUGACUUUAUUGUGCAGUGCGUCUCGUCCGUAGAGUCGGGUUGCUUGGGAGUGCAGCCCAAAUCAGGUGGUAAACUCCAUCUAAGGCUAAAUAUGACCACGAGACCGAUAGCGAACAAGUACCGUGAGGGAAAGUUGAAAAGAACUUUGAAGAGAGAGUUAAAAAGUACGUGAAACCUCUCGGGGGUAAGCGGGCAGAACUUGCAAGUAUUGGCUGGGAACAUUCAGGCUUAGUGUUGGUGGCUUGUGGUGCACGUUUUGUUGCUCUUUCGGGAGUUGACUGCCGUGUGUUGCUUGUUCUGCUGACGAUGCGCCGCAUUUGUUCCUGUCAUCGGGUUGCAUGCGACUUGAUGGUAGUUUAGGUGCUGGGUGUCUGCAAAUCCUUGUGGUUUGAGCCCUGGUCUCCAACUGCUGUCGUGGUCGUUGAAAUUACGAGUAGGCGCUUGUCGCGGUCAAAAGAUUUCGCGAGUUGGGUGCUUAUGAUAUGUGGACGGGUAACCGUAGCAUGUUGUCUGUACCUGCUGUCAGUGAGAUUUUGUAUUUGGCACUGCUCUGAUUGCAAUCUAAAGCAUGCG